CUUUCGGCGCCGGACGCAACUCAAGAACCCGGAACACCGGAGGGUUUUUUUUUUUUUGGCGAAGACUUCCAAGCGCGGCACGCUCCUGGCUGCUGUUGCCGUUUCAAGACAUUUAUAGCUCCUUCUUGUGCCCCAGUGUUUGUGUAUGUGUGCCGCCGUGGUGUUGUGUUCGAUGUGUGUGUUUUUUUAAAUGUUCUGUUCUUAUGUGUUAUUGUUCUUGGGCAGUGCGCCAUGUCGGAGAAUGCAAUUAGGUACAGUGAGUGAUUGUCGGACUAGCCGGAGAAACCAACACAACAACGGUGUUAUUAGUGUGUCUGAGCGUAGGUCAGAACUUUCGGCAAUAGAGGUAGGGCUAGGUUGAUUCCCAUCCCGAGAGCACGUCGUGAAAUAGAGUGUGUGUUUUCCACACCAACUCCAAACUGUGUGACCCAUCUGUCCCUUGGAAGGCAUUCCAAUGCCUCGAAGCUUAAACCUCCAACACUCUGACAAUCAAUAUCAAGGCACAUCUUUCCUCCCGUUUCAAUAAUUCAAACCCCUUUCCGUGCAUCCAACGCCAACACUACACAAUUGUCGAGCGCAGAAAACUGCGGUUUCUGGUGCACUCUGGCUGCCUCUUUCGGCCUCGGAGACGUUGGAAAGAUUGGCCACGAAAGGGAACAAUAGAUGGAAAUCGCGAGCACACACCCGCGUUGAUGAUGAUGAUGUCAUGCACAACGCUCUCCACGGUUUUGCAGCCAGAUGUUCGCUACCGGAAUGCCUUUGCCACUCUCCAGCUUCUUGCCGAUAUCAAAACUGAUUGGAGCGACAUACAACUUCAACCUAACAACAAUCGAUCUUCGGAUAAGAACAACAAUUAGUGAACUGAUGUCCAACCAAAUUAACUGCCAUACUACACACAAGCGAAAAUUGCAUCAUGUGUUCGUAGCACUCAAAACGAACUCCAACUCCAACCAACAUCUCCGUGAGCAACGAUCUAUGUUUUUUCUUCUCGGCGAAAUUAGAUUCUUAUCUAUGUGUACCUUCUGCAACCGACGGAAUGAUUUCGUAUACGUAAAACUAACUAAAACUAACCCUCUCCAAUGCAUAACGAUUUCUCUCGGCCCAGCCUGAAAUUUGCUAAACCUGAUGCGUGUUCGAAACCAAGGUGAGCAAAUAUUCAGGUGUGUCGACGAGCGGUCACAUUCGUCGUUCCGCCUUCUGGGGGUUAGUUUGGUUAUGCAGGCAUACAGGCACACGGGCACUAGGCUUCGUGGCUCCACACCUUCGGCACCGAAUGGCUUCCUGCACGCUGAUGACAAUACUAACAGUUGCAUUAGGUGUGGCGCACCACCACUCGAAGAUGUCAUCAGAGAUCUCGUGUUUGGUGGGGGAAGCACGAUUAUUUCUCAUUUACUAUCCAAAUCAAAGCUGUUGCCCAGGUACAGCGCGCUUCUUGCUGCAAGUCACCAUCGGGCCAGCGAGCGGAGUGCUCAAAUCGUCAGCACCGGUACCGCAAAUAGCAUUCCAAUUUCCUACUUCCUGCCACCUUCUGCCACCGUCAACUGCUACACAGUACCUCGGUGUGGUGACUGUUCACCACGAACCAUCAUCGUUCGGAUAUAACCUUCCCGAGAAAGCUUUAACCCCCGCGCAGUGGACGGAGUACACAUUCAGCAGAUAGAUUGGAGAACGACAGACACCAAAUGGAGGUGUGGGGAAUACUAGGGCAAUAUCACAUACAGUGUGUUAGGUUCCAGAAACACCCGUUCAGGCUAAGAUGUUGUACUGCACGCAACGCAUGCAGAGUGAAGACAGGCAAAAGGAUGUUAGAAAAGUAAUUUCCGCUUUCACUAUCUGCACAUAAAGCAUCGCAUUGGCACUAGGAACGAGUCCAGCAAUGACUGUCACAUUUUUCGGGAAAGGCGGAUUUUAAUGCCACGUGCUUCUGUGUUGAUGCUUCAUUGGAGAGGACAGAACGCGGAAAUGUAGCUCAGGCUCGCUCAAAAAGGCAAAAGAAAACUGAUUAACACACGCCAUGAGCAUGGCUCCAUCAACUAUCGAUCCUCAAGUAACGGCACCGCUUUCUCACGCACAUUACAGGAUUCGACAGUUUCGCUUGGAAUCCGCGCGUGUCACAGAGUCUCCUUCCGCCAUUGGAAAGAAGGCUAUAGGGAAGGCAAUAUCGACACUACGACUGUGCCAAAUUAGAUUAGUUAAAGGCGUAAUUCAAUUAGAAUAGCAAACUCCGAUGUAUUGCUUCGUGGUGUAGGGGCGUGAAAGAGUAUUUUGCGACAUGUUAACGCGACGAUUCGAAUCCGAAAUUAUUAAUAAUUUGGCUACAACAUACUUGUUCGAAUACAUAGCACGUGAGCUGCGAAAGAAAUUCUUAACAUGAUGCUUAGCGUAUGGUCUAAGGAAAUAUAAAAUAAACACCAACCC